rnacentral:misc_RNA from 1 species
CGCACCUUGCAUCUCUUGGUAUUCCGAGAGGUACACCUGUUUGAGUGUCGUGAAUAUACCUCUAGUGACAUUGUUUUAUGUGUCUCUAGGACUUGGGAGUUCUUGUAGGCUAUAAAGUCUACUCUCCUUGAAUACAUUAGCAAAUGACGAGUUGCAAUCAAGGUUGCCUUUGUGAUAGACUAUCUCAAAGCCCUUUCAUUGCCAGUGUGUAUUGCUUCUAAAGCCAUUUAUUAUUGAACUUGACCUCAAAUCAGGUGGGAUUACCCGCUGAACUUAA